rnacentral:rRNA from 1 species
CUGGNGGCAUGCUUUACACAUGCAAGUCGAACGGCAGCACGAAAGAGCUUGCUCUUUUGGUGGCGAGUGGCGAACGGGUGAGUAAUACAUUGGAACGUACCGAGUAAUGGGGGAUAACUGUCCGAAAGGAUGGCUAAUACCGCAUACGCUCUGAGGAGGAAAGCGGGGGACCUUCGGGCCUCGCGUUAUUCGAGCGGCCAAUGUUUGAUUAGCUAGUUGGUGGGGUAAAGGCCUACCAAGGCGACGAUCAGUAGUGGGUNUGAGAGGAUGAUCCGCCACACUGGGACUGAGACACGGCCCAGACUCCUACGGGAGGCAGCAGUGGGGAAUUUUGGACAAUGG